rnacentral:rRNA from 1 species
GAUGAACGCUGGCGGCGUGCUUAACACAUGCAAGUCGAACGAUGAAGCCCAGCUUGCUGGGUGGAUUAGUGGCGAACGGGUGAGUAACACGUGAGUAACCUGCCCUUGACUCUGGGAUAAGCCUGGGAAACUGGGUCUAAUACUGGAUAUGACUUCUCAUCGCAUGGUGGGGGGUGGAAAGAUUUAUUGGUCUUGGAUGGACUCGCGGCCUAUCAGCUUGUUGGUGAGGUAAUGGCUCACCAAGGCGACGACGGGUAGCCGGCCUGAGAGGGUGACCGGCCACACUGGGACUGAGACACGGCCCAGACUCCUACGGAAGGCAGCAGUGGGGAAUAUUGCACAAUGGGCGCAAGCCUGAUGCAGCGACGCCGCGUGAGGGAUGACGGCCUUCGGGUUGUAAACCCCUUUCAGUAGGGAAGAAGCGAGAGUGACGGUACCUGCAGAAGAAGCGCCGGCUAACUACGUG